rnacentral:rRNA from 1 species
CUACGUGCCAGCAGCCGCGGUAAUACGUAGGUGGCGAGCGUUAUCCGGAAUUAUUGGGCGUAAAGGGUGCGUAGGCGGCCUGUUAAGUAAGUGGUUAAAUUGUUGGGCUCAACCCAAUCCAGCCACUUAAACUGGCAGGCUAGAGUAUUGGAGAGGCAAGUGGAAUUCCAUGUGUAGCGGUAAAAUGCGUAGAUAUAUGGAGGAACACCAGUGGCGAAGGCGGCUUGCUAGCCAAAGACUGACGCUCAUGCACGAAAGCGUGGGGAGCAAAUAGGAUUAGAUACCCUAGUAGUCCACGCCGUAAACGAUGAAUACUAAGUAUUGGGGAAACUCAGUGCUGCAGCUAACGCAAUAAGUAUUCCGCCUGUGGAGUAUGCACGCAAGUGUGAAACAUAAAGGAAUUGACGGGGGCCCGCACAAGCGGUGGAGUAUGUGGUUUAAUUCGACGCAACGCGAAGAACCUUACCAGGUCUUGACAUUGAUGGACAGAACUAGAGAUAG